rnacentral:lncRNA from 1 species
GUGGAGCCAGGGCCCAGGGUAGGCCCAGGUCCAUCCCACCACUGGAAGACCCCUGCAGGAUCUCAGUACCAAUUCUGCCCACCUGCAGACCUCUGCUGGAGCUCAGGCCUGGCUCAGAUCUGCUCAUUGACCUGUGUGGGAGCCAGGGCCCAGGCUAGGCCUGGGUCCAUCCUGCCACCUACAGAUCCCUCAGAGCUCAGGCCCCUCCAGUGACCUGUGUGGGAGCCCAGGCCCAGCAAAAGCCUGAAUAUGGACCCACCACCUCCUAGGAGCCCAGGUUUAACCCAAUUCCAUCUUGACACACUGAAGCCAUCCCCACAGCCUUCCACAUGCAGUAGCCUCUACCUUGGGACAACAGACAGGUUUAGAAGCAGCUGCAUCUCAGAGCAGUAAUCCCAAAGACAGUGUGAGGUCCACCUUUUCAGCUCCAUCUCUGAAAGACAUUGCAUUCAUAUUGGGGCACCUCCACUGCCAUCUCAAGGUACCUCCUACAUUGCUGUACAAACUUACUACAGAUAUAAACUAAGAC